rnacentral:rRNA from 1 species
AACCUGGUUGAUCCUGCCAGUAGUCAUAUGCUUGUGNUAACCUGGUUGAUCCUGCCAGUAGCAUAUGCUUAUCUUUGAGAUUAAGCCAUGCAUGUCUAAGUAUAAGUUAUAUACGGCGAAACUGCGAAUGGCUCAUUAAAACAGUUAUAGUAUAUUUGAUGAUGUUUUUAUAUGGAUAACCGUUUGGGAAACCAGAGCUAAUACAUGCUUAAAGGCCUUAUGGUUGUAUUUAUUAGCUAUAAACCAUUACCUUCGGGUUUUGUGAGGAAUCAUAAUAACUGAUCGAAGCGCACUGGUGUGUGCUAAAUCUUUCUAGUUUCUGCUCUAUCAUGUUUUGAUGGUAGUGUAUUGGACUACCAUGACUAUCACGGGUAACGGAGAAUUAGGGUUCGAUUCCGGAGAGGGAGCCUGAGAAACGGCUACCACAUCCACGGUAGGCAGCAGGCGCGUAAAUUACCCAAUCCUGAUUCAGGGAGGUAGUUACGAGAAAUAUCAACUCAGUUUAUCUGAGAUUUAACUGGACUGAAUCUAAAACAUUCUAUGAAUACGAUUGGAGGGCAAGUCUGGUGCCAGCAGCCGCGGUAACUCCAGCUCCAAUAGUGUAUCUUAACGUUGUUGCAGUUAAAAAGCUCGUAGUUGAAUUUCUGGCUAGCUGACCAACUUAGGUUGGGACGGGCUAGUCAUCCGCGUUGGAAAUCAGCCAGAUGUUUAGUCAUCAGUUGAUGAAAGACGCAUUUUACUUUGAAGAAAUUAGAGUGUUCCAAGCAAGCAUUGUUGAAUAUUACAGCAUGGAAUAAUGGAAUAGGACAUAGUCAUUUUAUUGGUUAUUGACUUUGUAAUGAUUAACAGGGACAGUUGGGGGCAUUCGUAUUCAGUUGUCAGAGGUGAAAUUCGUAGAUUAACUGAAGACGAACUAAUGCGAAAGCAUUUGCCAAGGAUGUUUUCAUUAAUCAAGAACGAAAGUUAGGGGAUCGAAGACGAUUAGAUACCGUCGUAGUCCUAACUAUAAACUAUACCGACUAGGGAUUGGCAGGGGUUUGUCCCCUGUCAGCACCUAAUGAGAAAUCAAAGUCUUUAGGUUCUGGGGGGAGUAUGUUCGCAAGAAUGAAACUUAAAGGAAUUGACGGAAGGGCACCACCAGGAGUGGAGCCUGCGGCUCAAUUUGACUCAACGCGGGGAAACUUACCAGGGCAAGACCUGAGAAUGAUUGACAUUUUGAUAGCUUUUUCUUGAUUACAGGGAUGGUGGUGCAUGGCCGUUCUUAGUUGGUGAAGUGAUUUGUCCGGUUAAUUCCUUUWACAAACGAGACCUUAACCUGCUAAACUAGUCGUUCUUAUUUUAGGGAUUGACUUCUUAGAGGGACUAUGGUUUAAAAUCCAUGGAAGUUUGAGGCAAUAACAGGUCCGUGAUGCCCUUAGACGUUCUGGGCCGCACGUGUGCUACACUGACUCACGCAACGAGUUCUUUAUCUAACCCGAAAGGGGACGGAAAAUCUUGUUAAUAUGAGUCGUGCUAGGGAUUGAUCUUUGCAAUUUUGGAUCAUGAACGAGGAAUUCCUAGUAGGCAUAAGUCAUCAUCUUGUGCCGAUUACGUCCCUGCCCUUUGUACACACCGCCCGUCGCUCCUACCGAUUGAGUGAUCCGGUGAACUUUCUGGACAUUUGGCUUCCGCCGUAAUGGAAGUUAAGCAAAUCUUAUCACUUAGAGGAAGGAAAAGUCGUAACAAGGUUUCCGUAGGUGAACCUGCGGAAGGAUCA